rnacentral:rRNA from 1 species
ACCCGCUGAAUUUAAGCAUAUCAAUAAGCGGAGGAAAAGAAACCAACAGGGAUUGCCUUAGUAACGGCGAGUGAAGCGGCAAAAGCUCAAAUUUGAAAUCUGGCACCUUCGGUGUCCGAGUUGUAAUUUGAAGAAGGUAACUUUGGAGUUGGCUCUUGUCUAUGUUCCUUGGAACAGGACGUCACAGAGGGUGAGAAUCCCGUGCGAUGAGAUGCCCAAUUCUAUGUAAAGUGCUUUCGAAAAGUCGAGUUGUUUGGGAAUGCAGCUCUAAGUGGGUGGUAAAUUCCAUCUAAAGCUAAAUAUUGGCGAGAGACCGAUAGCGAACAAGUACAGUGAUGGAAAGAUGAAAAGAACUUUGAAAAGAGAGUGAAAAAGUACGUGAAAUUGUUGAAAGGGAAGGGCUUGAGAUCAGACUUGGUAUUUUGCGAUCCUUUCCUUCUUGGUUGGGUUCCUCGCAGCUUACUGGGCCAGCAUCGGUUUGGAUGGUAGGAUAAUGACUAAGGAAUGUGGCUCUACUUCGGUGGAGUGUUAUAGCCUUGGUUGAUACUGCCUGUCUAGACCGAGGACUGCGUCUUUUGACUAGGAUGUUGGCAUAAUGAUCUUAAGCCACCCGUCUUGAAACACGGACCAAGGAG